rnacentral:rRNA from 1 species
AGAGUUUGAUCAUGGCUCAGAUUGAACGCUGGCGGCAGGCCUAACACAUGCAAGUCGAGCGGUAGAGAGAAGCUUGCUUCUCUUGAGAGCGGCGGACGGGUGAGUAAUGCCUAGGAAUCUGCCUGGUAGUGGGGGAUAACGUUCGGAAACGGACGCUAAUACCGCAUACGUCCUACGGGAGAAAGCAGGGGACCUUCGGGCCUUGCGCUAUCAGAUGAGCCUAGGUCGGAUUAGCUAGUUGGUGAGGUAAUGGCUCACCAAGGCGACGAUCCGUAACUGGUCUGAGAGGAUGAUCAGUCACACUGGAACUGAGACACGGUCCAGACUCCUACGGGAGGCAGCAGUGGGGAAUAUUGGACAAUGGGCGAAAGCCUGAUCCAGCCAUGCCGCGUGUGUGAAGAAGGUCUUCGGAUUGUAAAGCACUUUAAGUUGGGAGGAAGGGCAUUAACCUAAUACGUUAGUGUUUUGACGUUACCGACAGAAUAAGCACCGGCUAACUCUGUGCCAGCAGCCGCGGUAAUAC